rnacentral:rRNA from 1 species
CAGCACCUCAAGUGGUCAGGAUGAUUAUUGGGCCUAAAGCAUCCGUAGCCGGCGCUGUAAGUUUUCGGUUAAAUCUGUACGCUCAACGUACAGGCUGCCGGGAAUACUGCAGCGCUAGGGAGUGGGAGAGGUAGACGGUACUCGGUAGGAAGGGGUAAAAUCCUUUGAUCUAUUGAUGACCACCUGUGGCGAAGGCGGUCUACCAGAACACGUCCGACGGUGAGGGACGAAAGCUAGGGGAGCAAACCGGAUUAGAUACCCGAGUAGUCC